rnacentral:rRNA from 1 species
AGAGUUUGAUCAUGGCUCAGGACGAACGCUGGCGGCGUUAACACAUGCAAGUCGAGCGGAAAGGCCCCUUCGGGGGUACUCGAGCGGCGAACGGGUGAGUAACACGUGGGUAAUCUGCCCAGGACACAGGAAUAACCCGUGGAAACGCGGGCUAAUGCCUGAUGAUGUGCCGGCCCUGCGGGGCCAGUACCAAAGGUAGCUUCGGCCUCCGGUCUUGGAUGAGCCCGCGUCCCAUUAGCUUGUUGGUGAGGUAACGGCUCACCAAGGCUCCGAUGGGUAGCUGGUCUGAGAGGACGAUCAGCCACACUGGGACUGAGACACGGCCCAGACUCCUACGGGAGGCAGCAGUGGGGAAUCUUGCGCAAUGGGCGAAAGCCUGACGCAGCAACGCCGCGUGCGGGAAGAAGGUCUUAGGGUUGUAAACCGCUUUCAGCAGGGACGAAGGCUGUUGGGUUAAUAGCCCACCAGUUGACGGUACCUGCAGAAGAAGGUCCGGCUAACUACGUGCCAGCAGCCGCGGUAAUACGUAGGGACCGAGCGUUGUCCGGAAUCAUUGGGCGUAAAGAGCGUGUAGGCGGCCUGUUAAGUCUUGCGUGAAAUCUCGGGGCUCAACCCCGAGCGGUCGUGAGAAACUGGCAGGCUAGAGUGCGGGAGAGGAGAGUGGAAUUCCUGGUGUAGCGGUGAAAUGCGCAGAUAUCAGGAAGAACACCCGUGGCGAAGGCGGCUCUCUGGAACGCAACUGACGCUGAGCGCGAAAGCGUGGGAGCAAACAGGAUUAGAUACCCUAGUAGUCC